UACUGCAGUGGUUUAGGUGACAACCAGCGUGGCUCGUGUGGGCCUUGUUUUUUGCCGCAUCUGCGCAAGAAAUGUUAUUGUUUUGAACGAAAAGCGAGCCGAGGGACAUGGGACGGAGUGAGUAAUGUAUUUUCUUUAAUAUUUUGGUAUGUAUGCUUUUGUUUAUGAUUAGAUGAUGUUUUGCCUAAGUUUGUUAUGUUGAAGAGCGAACAAAAACAUUCUAGUCAGAUAUUAUAGUCAGUUAUCGGUUGGUUGCGAAUGUGGCGCAGGAAUGUUGAGGAAACGAGGGUUAUAAUACCGUGUUGUGUCUUUUCAGUUUUUUACGUGGCAUUGCGGAUCUGGAUGAAUAUACUGAAUUAAAAGGAAAACUGAUGUCCUAUCCACAUGCUGCUACAGUAAAAAAUCCCCCAAUCCGAACAAAGCUAGAUGAACGUUGGGACCAAUUCCUUGAACCUGUAGGUAGUGAAAUGACCCGAACUAACAAUCUAUACACUGAGUAGAACUUUAUUUGCCUCAUAUUAUUUCAGUUCUUCCAACGACCCAUAAACCUGUACCUGUAGUGUUCACUUUUCUUUUAUUUUAUUUUUUGUUUGAAACUGCUUUGAAAUGGAUGAAAGUAAGAAGAUGGAAGGUCUGGAAGGUGAAGCGAAGGAGGGUGGUGCAGCACUGCUCGCUAGAAGGAGUGGGAGAAAGGUCACAUUAAAUCCGAAAGGUGCUGCAUACCAGUUAGAAACCAAGGAGAAGAGCUAUAAUGUUCUUCUAAAGGAAUUGAAGAAGACAGGAGCUGAACUGUUGGAAGAAGAUGUGUCCGAAAGGGUCAAGGCAGAUGAAGUUCUCCACAAAACAGUGACAAAGAAGGUGAGACAGUGGCUUCAUGGAUAUGUGACGCUCAUGCAAACAGCUAUCGAUUUGCAAGCUCUGCUUCCUGCGGACAGAAAAGAGGAGCAUCUGUCAAGACAUGCAGAAAUAGGGGUAGAGUUGAACCAGAUGAAAGAGGGUGUGGAUGCUUUGCAAAAGGAACUUGCUUUGACUGAUCAUGAAACAAAGCUUGAAGGCUCUGUGGCAGGAGCUAGUACGACAUCAAGUUCAAUGAGAGCAAACCUCAUGAUGCUGCGUCUCCAGGAUGAGAGAAAGAAGGCAGAAGUGAAGGCGCAACUGAUGGCCGUGAAGAAAAGACAAGAACUUCUGAAGGAAAGACAGGAUCUGGAGCUGAGAGAAAAGGAGCUGGAGUUACAAGUGCAGCUUGACAUUCAAAACGCACAAGAGGAUAUCAGCGAAAAGUUUGAACAAGAACUUCUGAAUGAAGAUGGGCCAGAUGAGUAUCAAAAGGACACACAAGUGAAGACACAUGUGAAAACACAAGAGAAGAACUCGGAUGGCAAUGCUCAGGCCGAAGGAAUUUUGACAGGACUGGCACAUAUCAUAUCAAAGUCACAGAACCAGCUGCCUGUUCUUGAACCUGAGGUAUUUAAGGGUGACGUUGAGCAGUUCGCAAUGUGGCUCAAGUCAUUUGAAUGUUACAUUGAGUCAAGGACUACUGAGAGCACAGAAAGACUGCACUAUCUUGCAACCUACACAGGUGGAAGUGCUAAACGUGCAAUUCAAGGACUUCUCCAGUUGAGAAGUGAGGAUGCCUACUCUAAGGCAAAGCAGAAACUGAUUGAAAGGUAUGGAAACGACUUUGUCACAGCAAAUGCCUAUAGGCAGCGGCUCCACAGCUGGCCACAUGUUCGGCCUGGAGAUGGCAAGGCCCUUCGUGAGCUGGCAGAUUUCCUGGAAGGUUGUCUGGUGGCAGCUCAGACAGUACCAGGACUCAGCAAUCUGAGGAACAUCGAUGAUAUUACCCAGCUGCUGAAAAGACUUCCACGAUAUCUUGUAGAUCGCUGGAGAAGGGUUGUUGAUGAGCACAUCUAUGAACGUGACAAGUCAGAGUACCCAGGCUUAGAAGUGUUUGUCAACUUCUUGACCAAAGAGGCUCGAGUCGCCUGUGGACCAGUAUCGCUGGAGACAGACCAAGACAAGCUGAAGAAAACAAGAGACAGAGCUGGAGCAUUCGCUUCUUCGACUGGUGCAGUAGCUGAAAGGAAGUCGGACAGGAAUUUCCGAAGAACUGAUCCCAGCUACCAAGCAACCAGCAGUAGCCAAUCAGCUCCUGACAGCUACAGGUGGAAGUGUGUCCUCUGCGUAGAGAGGCAUCCACUGGACUCAUGUGAGGUCUUCGCAAAGAUGGCCCUGCCAGAGAAACAUGUUGUGAUUCGCAAGCAUGGAGUGUGUCGUGGCUGCUUGCGUAUAGGCCACAUCUGGAAGGAGUGCAAGAGGAGAAGAGAAUGUGGAAAGUGCCACGGUGCUCACCCGACACUCCUACAUGAUGAUGAUUUCAGGUCAUCAAGAGGGACUCCCGGACGCUCGGUGUCAGUCGAAACACAAACGGCUACAACACUGAAAACUGAAAUCAGAUCACCGCCCAGCGAUGCAGAUGAUGGAACCCCAUGUUUUCAUUCAUUGAUCGUGCCUGUACUGGUCCAUCACCGGACAACACCGGAGCACAAGGAAAUGGUUUACGCCAUUCUGGAUCCACAGUCUGAUGGGACGUUCAUAACUGAGAGCGUCUGCGACAAGAUCAAAGCACCCGGAGUGGAAACCUCUCUGGAAUUGAGUACGAUUACUGGGAAAACCGAGGUGAAGGCGAAAGCAGUGACGGGACUGGUCAUCGAAGCGCUGGACUCCAGCAGUGAGAUCAGCCUCCCCACAACGUACACCCGUGAAGACAUGCCUGUAGAUCGACAACUGAUCCCAAGGCGUGAGACAGCAGCGAACUGGUCUCAUCUGAGAGAAGUAGCUGAGAGUUUGCCUCCCUACUACCCGGAGGCGGCGAUUGGUCUACUCAUUGGCUUGAACUGCAGCAAGGCCAUCAAGCCUCAGGACAUCGUGACAGGAGACGACAACGCGCCGUGGGCAGUCCGCACAGCGAUGGGCUGGGGUGUCGUUGGCCUCGCUCGCGGCAACAGAACGUGCUGUUUUGCAUCGUGCGAUGGUGCGGCGAGUAGGCAGUGUCACUUCACGCUGAGGACCCGAGCGAGGGAAGUCGGGCCGUCACAUUUGAUUGAAAUGUUGGAGACAGGGUUUCAGGACCAACCUCAAGAGAGGAAGAUCUCCCAACAAGACAAGAGAUUUGUGGACCUAAUGGAGACACAGAUGCACGCCACAGAAGAUGGUCACAUGGAAGCGCCACUUCCACUGAAGGACCCAGAGGUUGUGCUGCCAGACAAUAAGAAACUUGCAAUGCAAAGGCUGCAAGGGUUGAAGAAGAGAUUUGAAAGGGAUCCAGGAUUUCAGGCAGAAUACAACACGUUCAUGACAGAAAUGCUGGAGACCGGAAUCGCUGAGCCUGUGCCUGAAGAGGAGCUUGGUGGAGCCGGCAGCAAUGGAGUGUGGUACCUGCCGCACCAUGGGGUCCGUCACCCUCGCAAACAAAAGAUCAGGGUGGUCUUUGACUGCAGCUGUGAAUUCGAUGGACGGAGCCUAAACAGUGAGCUCAUGCAGGGACCGGACAUGGCCAAUAACCUCUGCGGCAUCUUGACUCGAUUCCGUAAGCUCCCCGUGGCUCUCACUUGUGACAUCAGAGGGAUGUUUAACCAAGUGAAAGUGAACCAAGAACAUCGAAACCUGCUACGCUUCCUCUGGUGGAAGGAUGGAAACCUGCAGGAAGAACCGACAGAGUUCAGAAUGACUACGCAUCUGUUCGGGGCAACAUCAUCCCCGUCUUGUGCGAUGUUCGCGCUGAAUAAGACAGCUGAGCUCUAUGAAGAAGAGUGUGGCCCAGAAGCUGCAGCCUUCGUGCGCCACGAUUUCUAUGUGGACGACGGAUUGAUAUCAACUCCGGACAAGACGUCGGCGUGUGAUCUGGCUGGAAGCGCAACAAUUUUGUGUUCCAAAGGUGGUUUCCAGUUGCACCAAUUCACCUCGAACGAGCCGGAUGUCAUCGCCAGCAUCCCCGAAGAAAAUCGAUCGAAGAAUCUUCAGCACAAGGACGUCGUGGACGAGUACAAACCUGUGGAACAGGCUCUUGGACUUUCGUGGAACAUUCAAGAUGACACGCUUCUUUUGACAGGAGACCUGCCCGACAAACCAGUGACUCGACGAGGGAUUUUGUCUACCGUCAGUUCCCUAUACGACCCCCUGGGGUUGGUGUGUCCCUUCACGUUGCAGGGAAAGCAGAUACUGAAGCGACUCUGUUGUGAUGGCGGUGGAUGGGAUGAGCCGGUACAUGAAGAGUGCUGGCUUGAUUGGAAAGCAGACCUGGCUACACUUUCCACUUUUGCAGUGCCCAGGUGCUACGUUCCAUCCUCAUGUCUGGUGGAGUCCUACGAGCUGCACAGCUUCUCAGACGCCAGCCUAGAGGGGCUCGGGGCCUGCAGCUAUCUGCGAAUGAAGACUACCGAUGGACAGCUCUAUUCGUCACUGGUGCUAGGGAAGGCCAGAGUAACGCCGAAACGCGUGACGACUGUUCCAAGGUUGGAGCUGGCAGCGGCACUUCUUUCGACAAAAACCAGCCAGUUCCUGAAGCAAGAGCUGAAUAUUCCGAACCUGAGAGAAUACUUCUGGUGUGACAGCAAGGUAGUAUUGGGUUAUAUCGGAAACGAAGACAAACGUUUCCACGUCUUCGUGGCGAAUCGUGUACAGCAAAUUCGCCAGUACACAUCACCUGAUCAGUGGGGAUUCGUAUCCUCUGAAGUCAAUCCAGCAGACUACGCUUCCCGCGGCCAGAGGGCGUCUGACCUGAAGAAGAACGACAUCUGGUGGAAGGGACCCGAGUUCCUUAGGAAACAGGACGAGGAGAGGACGCCUAGUACGUUCGAAGUCCCUGAUGACGACCCAGAGGUAAAGAAGAUGACGACGCUUGCAACUGCUGCUUCCGUUGCACAACAGUUUGCGAGUCUGAGGGAGCGGCUGCUGUACUUCUCUGAUUGGUUCAGAGCUCGUAGAGCUGUUGCCCUCUGCAUCAAGUUUGUGAGACGUCUCCGACAUCGGAUCAAAUCGAAGACGACGAAACCAGAAGGAGAUGAACCCGAGGAAGGCUUGUGUGCUGAAGAUCUGCUGAACGCAGAAAAGUUGAUCCUUCGACAGGUCCAGAAAGAAGACUUCAAUGAGGACGUGGCUGCCCUUUCAUCUGAUGGAGAGCGAUCUGGUGACCCCAGAAGAAAGAGAACCGUUGGCAGCCUGCGAGGACUAGAUCCUUUCGUGGAUCAGGAUGGGCUACUUCGAGUAGGAGGGCGUGCUCGAAAGAGCAGCUUAUCAAUGGAGCUAGCUCACCCGAUCAUACUACCGAAACGAGGACACAUUACAGACCUGAUUGUUCGUGAGUGCCAUGAGCGAACUCACCACAGUGGAAGGGAGAUGACUUUGAAUGAAGUCAGACAAAGAGGUUUCUGGAUCGUGCAGGGAAGAUCGGCAGUUGUGAGGAUCAUCCUCAGCUGUGUGAAGUGCAAGAAACUACGUGGAAAUCCCUGCACUCAGAAGAUGGGAGACCUGCCUAUGGAGCGUUUGGAGGCGACGGAACCUUUUGAAAACAGUGGAGUGGAUGCGUUUGGCCCAUUCUUUGUAAAGGAGCGAAGAAGCGAAGUCAAACGGUGGAUACUGCUCUUCACUUGCCUGAGUUGUCGUGGGAUCCACCUGGAAACUGUCAACAGCAUGACAGCAGACGCCUUUCUGAACGCAUAUAGACGAUUUGUGUGUCGCCGUGGCCCUGUGAGAAAGCUGUUCUGUGAUAACGGCACAAACUUCAUUGGCGGCAAAAGCACAUUGGAAGCAGCCAUGAUGGAGAUGGAGAAGGGGAAGAUCAGGCGAGAGCUGCUGAAGGAUCAAUGUGAUUUCAUUGAGUUUUCCUUCAACGUCCCGUACGCGAGCCACAUGGGCGGCUCAUGGGAAAGGCUCAUCAGGUCGACAAGAACAGCAUUGACUAGUAUCCUGGACGGACACAGUCAUCAUUUGGACGACGAGCUGUUCCGGACGUUUGUCGCGGAAGCCGAGAACGUCGUCAAUAGUCGGCCCAUUUCUGUUUGUAGCAUGACUAACACUGAUAGCGUAGAACCUAUCACUCCAGCACAGCUACUCACAUGUAAAUCCAAGGUCCUUCUUCCUCCACCUGGUGUCUUCUGCCGUCAAGACGUCUACGCCCGACGAAGAUGGCGGCGCGUACAACAUCUGGCGGACGUAUUCUGGUCGCGAUGGCAGCACGAGUACGUCCCCACUACGCAGGAGCGACGGAGAUGGAUCGACAAGGAGCCUAACAUGAAGGUCGACGACCUCGUCGCCGUGGCCGAUGACAGUCUUCCGCGCUCUCAGUGGCAUCUGGGACGUAUAGUGACCACGUACCCGAGUGCGGAUGACUUGGUGCGUAAGGUGCGAGUGCGGAUCGGCGCAGCCGAAUACGACAGGCCAGUGCAUCGUCUAGUCAUGAUCAUGAGGGCGCACGACGGAGAUUCCCGGUCGGGGAGCCUCUGAACGCUUGGUGAGCGGACGACGAACUAGAGGUGCUUGGCGUAGGAUUAGCGGUCCACGUGCCGUGAAAGGGCAGCAGUGAGAAGUGUAAGAUGCAUUGAGACCGUAGUCUGUAAGGACUUGAUCCUUGGAACAACUUCUGUUUCAUGGUCACAUGCCUGUUCGUGUAAUCGACGUAUCUGUUAGUAUUAUCGGAAGAGAAAAUUCUGUUGAAUUUUGGGGAGCCAUGUUCCCGCUGGCAUCAAUUUACUGCAGUGGUUUAGGUGACAACCAGCGUGGCUCGUGUGGGCCUUGUUUUUUGCCGCAUCUGCGCAAGAAAUGUUAUUGUUUUGAACGAAAAGCGAGCCGAGGGACAUGGGACGGAUUUUUUACGUGGCAUUGCGGAUCUGGAUGAAUAUACUGAAUUAAAAGGAAAACUGAUGUCCUAUCCACAUGCUGCUACAG
rnacentral:misc_RNA from 1 species